CCUCUGGCCAGGAUGGAUUUUAUAGUAUACUGUAUGCAGAAAGGUGGUUACCCUUCCCUUUAUAUUUAUGACACACCCUGUGCCCAUUGGCUCACCAAGGCACCAGGACUGAGCCACGGGAGCCCCACUGACACUAGUGGGAGUGGCACAGCUGCACCCUGCGGCAAGGGAUGCUGGGCAGAGUUGAGGGAACUCUAGCCUCCCCUGAUGAUGUGCGGGGGCGGGGGGCUGAUGGCCACGGGGCCCUGAGGCUGAUGGGGCUGAGGGUAUCUCUGGGAGGGGCAGGGUGGGGCCCUCAAUGCCAUGGGGUUCCUUGUUGAGGAUGGGGGACAUUGAGCCAUUUCUCUACCCUGCAUUCCCACAGCAGCCGCAUAAAUGACGCUUUCUCCUUCUCUCCCUGGUGCAGAGACCCUCAGUGCCCAACUGGAAGAGGUGGAGGAGGAGGAAGAGAAGGGAGGAGGAUGUGUCCCCUGAACAAGAUACCAUCAGGGUCAUCUAGCAGCACCUCCAGGGCAGAGCUGAGUGGGUGGAGGACAGGGCCAAACAGCUCUGCUUCCUCCAUGCUGUCCCGAGUCCGUACUUCUCGGCACAGAAGCAGGGGUGGGACACUCUGGAGCCGCACUUCUCCAAAGCAGCCCUCCUGGAGAGCAUUGCGAAGCUGAUUGAAAAUCUGCCCAUGGAGUCUGAGCCGAGCUCCAUCAUCUCCAGUUCCAUGGCUGCGGUUUGCAGCCUCAGCAAACUGAAGCCGCCACUUGCUCUGGAGCUGGAGUCACGUCUCCUGCAGGCUCUACUCUACACCAUCUUCACCAUGGGCACUGGGCAGGAUACCACCCACUUCCGGGUAGGUCAUGAUCCUACUUC